AUUGAACGCUGGCGGCAUGCCUUACACAUGCAAGUCGAACGGUAACAGGUCUUCGGAUGCUGACGAGUGGCGAACGGGUGAGUAAUACAUCGGAACGUGCCCGAGAGUGGGGGAUAACGAGGCGAAAGCUUUGCUAAUACCGCAUACGAUCUCAGGAUGAAAGCAGGGGACCGCAAGGCCUUGCGCUCACGGAGCGGCCGAUGGCAGAUUAGGUAGUUGGUGGGAUAAAAGCUUACCAAGCCGACGAGCUGUAGCUGGUCUGAGAGGACGACCAGCCACACUGGGACUGAGACACGGCCCAGACUCCUACGGGAGGCAGCAGUGGGGAAUUUUGGACAAUGGGCGCAAGCCUGAUCCAGCCAUGCCGCGUGCAGGAUGAAGGCCUUCGGGUUGUAAACUGCAUUUGUACGGAACGAAAAGACUCCUUCUAAUAAAGGGGGUCCAUGACGGUACCGUAAGAAUAAGCACCGGCUAACUACGUGCCAGCCGCCGCGGUAAAAC
rnacentral:rRNA from 1 species